UACGUAGGGUGCGAGCGUUAAUCGGAAUUACUGGGCGUAAAGCGUGCGCAGGCGGCGCGUUAAGACAGGUGUGAAAGCCCCGAGCUUAACUUGGGAAUUGCGCUUGUGACUGGCGAGCUGGAGUGUGGCAGAGGGAGGUGGAAUUCCACGUGUAGCAGUGAAAUGCGUAGAGAUGUGGAGGAACACCGAUGGCGAAGGCAGCCUCCUGGGCCAGCACUGACGCUCAUGCACGAAAGCGUGGGAGCAAACAGG
rnacentral:rRNA from 1 species